rnacentral:rRNA from 1 species
GACGGAGGGGGCAAGCGUUGUCCGGAAUUACUGGGCGUAAAGCGUACGCAGGCGGCUUGUCAAGUCGAGUGUGAAAUCCCGGGGCUCAACCCCGGACAUGCAUUCGAUACUGGCGAGCUUGAGUGCGGGAGAGGGAAGCGGAAUUCCUGGUGUAGAGGUGAAAUUCGUAGAUAUCAGGAGGAACACCGGUGGCGAAAGCGGCUUCCUGGCCCGACACUGACGCUCAUGUACGAAAGCGUGGGGAGCAAACAGG